rnacentral:rRNA from 1 species
AUUGAACGCUGGCGGCAUGCCUUACACAUGCAAGUCGAACGGUAACAGGUCUUCGGAUGCUGACGAGUGGCGAACGGGUGAGUAAUACAUCGGAACGUGCCCGAUCGUGGGGGAUAACGCAGCGAAAGCUGUGCUAAUACCGCAUACGAUCUACGGAUGAAAGCGGGGGAUCGCAAGACCUCGCGCGGACGGAGCGGCCGAUGGCAGAUUAGGUAGUUGGUGGGAUAAAAGCUUACCAAGCCGACGAUCUGUAGCUGGUCUGAGAGGACGACCCGCCACACUGGGACUGAGACACGGCCCAGACUCCUACGGGAGGCAGCAGUGGGGAAUUUUGGACAAUGGGCGCAAGCCUGAUCCAGCCAUGCCGCGUGCAGGAUGAAGGCCUUCGGGUUGUAAACUGCUUUUGUACGGAACGAAAAAGCUCUCUCUAAUACAGGGGGUGAAUGACGGUACCGUAAGAAUAAGCACCGGCUAACUACGUG